rnacentral:rRNA from 1 species
AACGAACGCUGGCGGCAGGCCUAACACAUGCAAGUCGAGCGAGGACUUCGGUUCUAGCGGCGGACGGGUGAGUAACGCGUGGGAAUGUUCCCUUCUCUACGGAAUAGCUCUGGGAAACUGGGAGUAAUACCGUAUACGCCCUAUUGGGGAAAGAUUUAUCGGAGCAGGAUCAGCCCGCGUUGGAUUAGGUAGUUGGUGGGGUAAUGGCCUACCAAGCCGACGAUCCAUAGCUGGUUUGAGAGGAUGAUCAGCCACACUGGGACUGAGACACGGCCCAGACUCCUACGGGAGGCAGCGGUGGGGAAUCUUAGACACUGGGGGCAACCCUGAUCUAGCCAUGCCGCGUGAGUGAUGAAGGCCUUAGGGUUGUAAAGCUCUUUCAGCUGGGAAGAUAAUGACGGUACCAGCAGAAGAAGCCCCGGCUAACUCCGUG